GGGGGUGUACUGGAUUCGACUGGCAUUGGAUUCAUACACUGCAAGCAGGAGUGCGUCUGGCUCCUCAAAAAGACGCAAAAUGUUACAUGGCAAAACGUCACGUUUCAAAGCUUUCGGAUUUAAGUCUGAAAAGCUUGCUUUGGCAGCUUAACGCCUGUCACCUCUUACUUUCUGACGCAGAUAAGUGAGAUAAGAGGUCAUCAAUCUGUAAAACAGAAAAAGUUUACUUAUUUCAUAAACUGUAAAUAAUUGAAAUUAGUAGUCCGAUGCUAGUAUCUAAUACUUAAAUGGAAACUAGAUAAGCUUGUAGACGUGUAUUUUUGAAGAUAUUAGGACGCGGGUUCAACUCCCGCCACCUCCACCA
rnacentral:tmRNA from 1 species